rnacentral:rRNA from 1 species
UACGGGGGGGGCAAGCGUUGUUCGGAAUUACUGGGCGUAAAGAGCUCGUAGGCGGUGUGUCACGUCGGCCGUGAAAACCUGCAGCUUAACUGUGGGCGUGCGGUCGAUACGGGCAUCACUGGAGUUCGGCAGGGGAGACUGGAAUUCCUGGUGUAGCGGUGAAAUGCGCAGAUAUCAGGAGGAACACCGGUGGCGAAGGCGGUUCUCUGGGCAUUACCUGACGCUGAGGAGCGAAAGUGUGGGGAGCGAACAGG